rnacentral:rRNA from 21 species
UGGCCUCAGAUCAGGGAGGAUCACCCGCCGAAUU